GGGGACUCGGGGUGUCCAGAUCGCAUCUCCGGGGUGGAGGAGGAAGGAGCCAGCCAGAGCCUACAGCUCCAGCCAUUUCCGGGAGUCACGUUUUCCGCAGAGGGUAGCGUGUCCCAGGCACGGAUCCAAGACCAAGGACUUGGCAAAACCACGGAACGGAAAAACGAAUGUUUACCAGCCAGCUGGAGCCGGGGACAACAGAG
rnacentral:lncRNA from 1 species